GUCUUUUUGAAUUUAAUUUAAGGUUUAAUCUGCCCAUUGAAAAUUUUUAAAAGGCCGCAGUAAUUUGACUGUGCAAAGGUAGCAUAAUAAUUAGUUUUUUAAUUGAAAGCUGGAAUGAAUGAUUGGACAAAAAUAAAAUUAUUUAUUAUUUAAUAAAAUUAAAAUUUAUUUUUAAGUAAAAAAGCUUAAAUAUUUUUUAAAGACGAGAAGACCCUAUAGAGUUUGAUAUUUAAAUUUUGUAAAAAUUUAAAGAAGAAAUAUUUUAAUAAAAUUUUAAAUAUUUAAUUGGGGUGAUUAAAAAAUUUAUAAACUUUUUUAUAUAUAUAAACAAAAAUUAUUGAAAUAUUGAUUAUUUAAAUAAAUAAUAAUAAAAUAAAUUACCUUAGGGAUAACAGCGUAAUUUUUUUGGUAAGUUCAAAUUUAUAAGAAAGAUUGCGACCUCGAUGUUGGAUUAAGAUAAAAUUUUAAUGGAGGAAUUAAAUUAUUUAGUCUGUUCGACUAUUUAAAUCUUACA
rnacentral:rRNA from 1 species